UUACAUUUUUAGCCAUUAAAUGUAAUUGGCAAUCUGGCAUAUAAUUUCACUUAGCCAAAUGUGAUGACGUGGGUCGAAACUGCUGUCCAUUUUGUCGAAAUGUCGGCCAUUGUUAGCUGUACGUCUCAUCUCGUGCAGAAACACUUCAGAGCUAUUGAUUUUCAGGUCAGAAAUGGAGAUCUCCCUUUGCUCAACUGUUGCAGAAAUUUAAAACACGACAAAGUCUGAGCUUUAUUGAUGCUGCCGGCUGUAGUAUCAUUGAUGUGGUUUUGUUGCAGCCAGUUGGUGAAAGGUGUGAUCGAGUCAUGGUUGAGUUGCAGCUUCUGCAUGCAGUUUAUCGAGCUGGUGCUAUCCCAAGUGUAACUGCAGGAAAACUUCUUGAAUUGUUAAUGACUAGAGAGUAGACCCCUUUGCUUCUCUGUUGCAAUUAUGAGUUAAGACCAUUAUGGAAAUGUGGAUUACAUUUGUUAUUUUCAA
rnacentral:misc_RNA from 1 species